CCUACGGGUGGCUGCAGUGGGGAAUAUUGCACAAUGGGGGAAACCCUGAUGCAGCGACGCCGCGUGAGCGAAGAAGUAAUUCGUUAUGUAAAGCUCUAUCAGCAGGGAAGAAAAUGACGGUACCUUAGUAAGAAGCCCCGGCUAACUACGUGCCAGCAGCCGCGGUAAUACGUAGGGGGCAAGCGUUAUCCGGAUUUACUGGGUGUAAAGGGAGCGUAGACGGCAGUGCAAGUCUGGAGUGAAAGGCGGGGGCUAAACCCCCGAACUGCUCUGGAAACUGUACGGCUGGAGUGCAGGAGAGGUAAGUGGAAGUCCUAGUGUAGCGGUGAAAUGCGUAGAUAGUAGGAGGAACACCAGUGGCGAAGGCGGCUUACUGGACUGUAACUGACGCUGAUGCACGAAAGCGUGGGUAUCAAACAGGAUUAGAUACCCUUGUAGUC
rnacentral:rRNA from 1 species